rnacentral:lncRNA from 1 species
AUUUAAAAGGCGUCUUCUGAUAAACCUCAGCAUCUCCUUACUAACAUACUAAGAGCAAUCACUGAACACUUUUCGUAUGUUCAAUGCGUCCUCGCGGGAUCUGAGAAGCAUUGUCCUAUUAAAUCUCAGUCGUCUGAUUUUCAGCAUCAAUUUAUCUUGGGAGCUGCUCCUGCAUUUUAUAAGGUGAAUUCUACAGCAACGAGAUUAAAGAUUCAGAAAGUCUUAUUGGCUGUGCAAACUUGAGGGAGUUGCCUAACCACUCUGGGCCCUGUUUUCCUGGCUUUGCCACUCUUCAGCUGUGUGACCCGGGGAAGCUCUCAACCUCUUUGUGCCUCCAUUUCCACAUCUGUAAAAUGGGGAUAUGAAAGUGGCUGCUUUGUGAAGAGUCCUGAGAAUAAAUGAGUUAAGGAAAACUGAUAUGGAUAAAUAUGGAAGAGAGCUGGCCAGUGGAUGAAAUGGUGAUGUAAAGGUUAAGAGAAAUAAAAGCAGGAGACGAGGAGAGAGUCACACCACGGGACAGUUACAGCCAAGAAACAGAGAGGCUCCAGGAAACCAAUCUUACUCCACAUAUUAGAGGACUUACAAUACUUUUCAUAGGACUUACAGCCUCCUCCUUCCCCAGCAUGUUUGUAAGCAAGUAAACUAUAAAAGGUCAGUGCUGAAAAGAGAAUGGGGUGUUCUCCAGUUUCUCCACCCCUAAACCCUUGCAGAGAUGCUGUUCCAGCACAGAAACCAAUCCAGAAAUUCUACCAAGAUACCGAAUGUUCAGCAAAUAGACAAAGCACAAA